UACGAGUGCUCCAAGCGUUAUCCGGAAUCAUUGGGCGUAAAGGGUGUGUAGGUUGUCUCGUUAGUCUUCUGUCAAAUUCUUCGGCUCAACCGGGGGUCCGCAGGGGAAACGACGAGACUGGAGGGUGUGAGAGGUGAAUGGAACUCAUGGUGUAGGGGUGAAAUCCGUUGAUAUCAUGGGGAACACCAAAAGCGAAGGCAAUUCACUGGCACAUUCCUGACAUUGAAGCACGAAAGCGUGGGUAGCGAAUGGG
rnacentral:rRNA from 1 species